rnacentral:lncRNA from 1 species
UUGAUGCAAAAUGUUUAAAAGCAAUAUUCAAACGAUAUUUUACAAACAAUUUACAUACACUUUCAUGAUAUAAUAAAAACCUAAAUUUAAUCAAAUGACAGAAAUUGUAAACUUGUUUGUGUCGGAUACGUCGGAUACGGAGCAUAAUGCUUGUUAUCCGGAUUUACUGUUCCAGUGCAGUCAGCGGACAACAUUUAUCAUACGACUGUUCCCAACGCCUAACAGACAAACGCCGAAGAAUUAUGGGACCAGUUACCGGAAAUACAAUUUCCCGCAUUUUUGACAAGACAAAGAUUUAAAGAAAAUACGUUGAAUAAAAGAAUUAUCUCUAUAACGACCAUAUAACGCUGGUAAGAAUAACAAAAAGUAUGCAUUUGGGACCCAUUUUAUGAUUGCUCAUGAUCAUGAUGAUUCGAUGAACAUUUAUCUUGAAAUCGGGAGUGGAUACAGGAUUACAAAAAAGGGGGAGCCGCCUGGCAUAAUUACUUUUCACAACCAAAUGAUGUAACACGUCUUUAUAGUCUUUGCAUUUUGAUUUUGGUCUCUUAUCCCUGAAUCCUGCUCAUAUAAUAACAAAAGAGCGUUUAUUAAGCACAAAUUGAUAAAGGUAGCUGUGUUUGUGCUCCAUUCAGUUCUGCAACGAUUAUAUCUGUACCCAAAACAAUGGCAUCAGGUCUGUUCGUCCUAAAAAAAUGUUAGCUCUAGGUCUGUUUGCCGUGAGCUCAUUUGAUUCACCUGUAGAGUCCAUUGCCCUACU